rnacentral:rRNA from 1 species
UUUAAAUUGAGAGUUUGAUCCUGGCUCAGGAUGAACGCUGGCGGCGUGCUUAACACAUGCAAGUCGAGCGAUGAAGUUUUCUUCGGGAAACGGAUUAGCGGCGGACGGGUGAGUAACACGUGGGUAACCUGCCUCAUAGAGUGGAAUAGCCUUCCGAAAGGAAGAUUAAUACCGCAUAACGUUGAAAGAUGGCAUCAUCAUUCAACCAAAGGAG